rnacentral:rRNA from 1 species
GACGUAGGGGACGAGCGUUGUCCGGAUUUAUUGGGCGUAAAGAGCGUGUAGGCGGCCAGGUAGGUCGGUUGUGAAAACUGGAGGCUUAACCUCCAGACGUCGACCGAAACCAUCUGGCUAGAGUCCGGAAGAGGAGAGUGGAAUUCCUGGUGUAGCGGUGAAAUGCGCAGAUAUCAGGAAGAACACCCGUGGCUAAGGCGGCUCUCUAGUACGGUACUGACGCUGAGACGUGAAAGCGUGGGGAGCGAACAGG